rnacentral:misc_RNA from 1 species
GGACGAGUCUACUUUUUUCCUCUCAUUCCAACUCAUUGUCAUCUGAAAAAACUCAGGAUAAUUGGUUAAGACUGCAUCAACUAAACAAAAUUUGAUCAUAUUGGGGAAAAUGGGGGCACAUGUAAAAUGGGAUGAGGCAAAUCUGGAAGAAAUUGAGGCAAAUAAGCCAGUGAGGCAGAAAAUAACUGAACCAAAGACACCAUUUCACCGUUCGAUCGACGAUGAUGAUGGAUCUCCAUCUCCGUGGGAUACUAUUGAGGAGGCCAGUGCAUUUGAUGAAGCUUCUUCCAGUGAAAAUAAAUCCCGACAGUCUGGCUGGCCAUCUUCUGACGAUGAGGCUGAUAUCAUGGACCAAGAUGACGAAGAUUCUGGUUCAGAAAGGAGCAGGAGCUUUAGGGAGCAAAGACGAGCACACUAUGACGAAUAUAGGAAAAUCAAAGAACUGCGUAGAGAGGGCUCUUCUCUUGAAGGAGCAUCCGACGAUGAGGUUGAGGAUCUUGAGAAAAGGGAUGGUAGGUCUAAUACAUCAUCGUCAUUGACAUCUGCUGUUGAGGGCAUUGACAUUUCGGAAGGAAGCACAGACGAUUCUAAAUAGUCCUCCACGCCAGCCAAUCGAACAAGGAUUGUCCUGAGUAAGUACAUGUUUUUUCUAAGAAGGUUGUUAUAACAACCUACUGUUCUGUUCUUCAUAUGUUCACUUUUUCUUGUACUGUUAUAAACUAUAGAAUUGUUGUAACACAACACUUU